UACGGAGGGUGCAAGCGUUAAUCGGAAUUACUGGGCGUAAAGCGCACGCAGGUGGCUGAGAAAGUCGAUUGUGAAAGCCCUGGGCUUAACCUGGGAAUUGCAGUCGAAACUACUCGGCUAGAGUAUGGGAGAGGGUAGUGGAAUUCCCGGUGUAGCGGUGAAAUGCGUAGAUAUCGUAAGGAAGACCAGUGGCGAAGGCGGGUCUCUGGACAGUUCCUGACGCUGAGGCACGAAGGCCAGGGGAGCAAACGGG
rnacentral:rRNA from 1 species